rnacentral:rRNA from 1 species
UGGGGAAUUGUUCGCAAUGGGCGCAAGCCUGACGACGCAACGCCGCGUGGAGGACGAAGAUCUUCGGGUCGUAAACUCCUGUCGAGCGGGAAGAAACCCGCAGAGGUGAAUAAUCUCUGUGGCUGACGGUACCGCUAAAGGAAGCCCCGGCUAACUCCGUGCCAGCAGCCGCGGUAAUACGGGGGGGCAAGCGUUGUUCGGAAUUACUGGGCGUAAAGGGCUCGUAGGCGGCCAACUAAGUCGGAUGUGAAAUCCCCAGGCUUAACCUGGGAACUGCAUCCGAUACUGGAUGGCUUGAAUUCGGGAGAGGGAUGCAGAAUUCCAGGUGUAGCGGUGAAAUGCGUAGAUAUCUGGAGGAAUACCGGUGGCGAAGGCGGCAUCCUGGACCGACAUUGACGCUGAGGAGCGAAAGCCAGGGGAGCAAACGGGAUUAGAUACCCCGGUAGUCCUGGCCCUAAACGAUGAAUGCUUGGUGUGACGGGUAUCGAUCCCUGUCGUGCCGAAG